rfam:Exophiala dermatitidis NIH/TT8656 unplaced genomic scaffold supercont1.5, whole genome shotgun sequence.
GGGAGGAUGGCCGAGUGGUUUAAGGCGGCAGAUUUAAGUCUUUACACAAAAAUAAACUUGAAGUUCUCUGCUUUCCGUAAGGAAGCGUGGGUUCGAACCCCACUCCUCUCA